rnacentral:tRNA from 1 species
GCGGGUGUGACUCAGCGGUAGAGUGUCUCCUUGCCAAGGAGAAAGUCGUCGGUUCGAAUCCGAUCACCCGCU